GUUCAAUAAAAUCUCCGGAGUCAAAUAAACCUAAAAAAGGAUAAAAAAAACCUAAUAACUUCGAUUACUAAUAUAAAUAUUUUUUAUUUAACUUCAGUCGUAUAAAUCUUAAUCAGUCAAAAUGUGUGGACCUUGCGGUGGUUGCGGCGGAUGCUGUGGAGGAUGCGGCCCUUGCUGCCCCUGCAUCACUAUAUACACGUGCUGUACGAAGAUUUGUUAAGCAGUAUGAACGGGUCGACUACCUGGUACCGCGGACUAUGGUGCUUCGACCCUAUGUGUUCAGUCAACUCAGUGCCGUCUUGUCUUAAUAAAAUAUCCUAACCCA